AUUCAAUUGACGAGUCUCAAAUAGGAAGAAACACGUGUCCUGGAU
rnacentral:hammerhead_ribozyme from 1 species